GCGCGCAAAUUACCCACUCCCAGCUCGGGGAGGUAGUGACGAAAAAUAACGAUACGGGACUCAUCCGAGGCCCCGUAAUCGGAAUGAGAACACUCUAAACCCUUUAACGAGGAUCAAUUGGAGGGCAAGUCUGGUGCCAGCAGCCGCGGUAAUUCCAGCUCCAAUAGCGUAUAUUAAAGUUGUUGCGGUUAAAAAGCUCGUAGUCGAAUUUGUGUCUCGCGCCGUCCGGUUCAUCGUUCGCGGUGUCAACUGGCGUGUCGCGAGACGUCCUGCCGGCGGGUCGUUCGCAAGAGCGGCCCAACUGACCCCGCCGCGGUGCUCUUCAUUGAGUGUCGAGGUGGGCCGGCACGUUUACUUUGAACAAACUAAGGUGCUUAAAGCAGGCUGAAAUUUUGCCAGAAUAUUUUAUGCAUGGAAUAAUGAAACAGGACCUCGAUUCUAUUUUGUUGGUUUUCGGAACCUCGAGGUAAUGAUUAACAGGAACGGAUGGGGGCAUUCGUAUUGCGACGUUAGAGGUGAAAUUCUUGGAUCGUCGCAAGACGGACAGAAGCGAAAGCAUUUGCCAAAAACGUUUUCAUUGAUCAAGAACGAAAGUUAGAGGUUCGAAGGCGAUCAGAUACCGCCCUAGUUCUAACCAUAAACUAUGCCAGCUAGCGAUCCGCCGACGUUCCUCCGAUGACUCGGCGGGCAGCUUCCGGGAAACCAAAGCUUUUGGGUUCCGGGGGAAGUAUGGUUGCAAAGCUGAAACUUAAAGGAAUUGACGGAAGGGCACCACCAGGAGUGGAGCCUGCGGCUUAAUUUGACUCAACACGGGAAACCUCACCAGGCCCGGACACCGGAAGGAUUGACAGAUUGAGAGCUCUUUCUUGAUUCGGUGGGUGGUGGUGCAUGGCCGUUCUUAGUUGGUGGAGCGAUUGUCUGGUUAAUUCCGA
rnacentral:rRNA from 1 species